CCAGCCUGCCAGUGACCUAGUUCAACGGCCGCGGUAUCCUAACCGUGCGAAGGUAGCGUAAUCACUUGUUCUUUAAAUGAGGACUAGUAUGAAUGGCACCACGAGGGUUAAACUGUCUCCUUUUUUUAAUCAGUGAAACUAAUCUCCCCGUGAAGAAGCGGGGAUUCUUUUAUAAGACGAGAAGACCCUAUGGAGCUUUAAACAAGUUAACACCUGCUACUAAUCUUCACUUUCCUGAACCACCACAUUAAGUAUAGCACCUCUGAUUAACAGUUUUCGAUUGGGGUGAUCAUGGAGCAAAAAUCAACCUCCACGACGAAAAGGAACACCUCCUUGAGCCAAAAGCUACAACUUUAAGCACUAAAAAACUAACGCACUUUGACCCAAUUCUUUGAGCAACGAACCAAGUUACCCUAGGGAUAACAGCGCAAUCCACUUUAAGAGCUCCUAUCGACAAGUGGGUUUACGACCUCGAUGUUGGAUCAGGGUAUCCCAGUGGUGCAGCCGCUACUAAAGGUUCGUUUGUUCAACGAUUAAAACCCUACGUGAUCU
rnacentral:rRNA from 1 species